AAAAUAGUAAUGAUGAAAGAAAGUACUUGUCGAUUGUCAUACAGAGAGCUAGUGGCUGGUGCGAACUAGUUGGCUACGGCAAUGAAGUUCCUUUCUGAACUGCAGGCUGAAACAUCAGUAGGCUGCGCCGUAAUGCUACGUUACAGCUGCUGAGUGCAUGAUUUUGAAGAAAUAAUCUUGAUACAUGCAAUAUGGGUGGUACCGCGGUUAUGUCGUCCCUAAC
rnacentral:ncRNA from 1 species